rnacentral:rRNA from 1 species
GACGAACGCUGGCGGCGUGCCUAACACAUGCAAGUCGAACGGGGAGUUAGCAAUAACUCCUAGUGGCGAACGGGUGAGUAAUGCGUAGACAACCUGCCUCUAAACUGGGGACAACACCGCGAAAGUGGUGCUAAUACCGUAUGUGGUAACUUGCUCGCAUGAUCGAGUUAAGAAAGAUGGCCUCUAUGUAUAAGCUACCGAUUAGAGAUAGGUCUUGGUCUGAUUAGCUAGUUGGUGCGGUAAUGGCUCACCAAGGCGAAGAUCAGUAGGCGGUCUGAGAGGAGGAACGGCCACACUGGGACUGAGACACGGCCCAGACUCCUACGGGAGGCAGCAGUGGGGAAUCUUCCGCAAUGGACGAAAGUCUGACGGAGCAACGCCGCGUGAGUGAAGAAGGUCUUCGGAUUGUAAAGCUCUGUCGUUUGGGACGAACGUGGGUAGUGUGAAUAAUGCUAUCUAAUGACGGUACCAAAGGAGGAAGCCACGGCUAACUACGUGCCAGCCGCCGCGGUAA